AAUAAGUUAAUUAAACAAGAGGAGAGCCCUGCACAAGCGACAGGACCAAAAAGCAUGAACCAGAGUAGGAGGAACUCAACACUAGCGACUGAGGGGAGAACGUUCACACUUCGCCGAAGCGAUCCCGUCUUUUCUUUAAAAUGCCUACCUGGUGGUCUUUGGCUCCACUUUGAACGUCACUUCCUCAGAUACCUUUCUUGGUCAUCCCGGCCAGAAAUUGAUCCCUCCUUAUAAACUAUUACUAAGCACUGUGUUGGCACCAAACAAGACCACGGCAAGUAUCUGCUGAAUGAAUGAAUGCCUCCUGAAAGGUACAGAGAAGACGGCUGACUUGCCCACAGUGGCACAAAACUAGUGACCAAACCUCACUGCAGCGUCCCGCUAUAAAGCAGCCUCUCAAAAGGAAUACAGAACAAGGACGGAGAAUGUUGGUAGAGAAGAGGUGAAGAAGGCAGAGACAGCAGAGGGAGUGAAAUGGGACUGGACAGUAAGACGACGACGUCUGCCCAGGGAAGGGAUUGUAUGGACGGUCGACAG